rnacentral:lncRNA from 1 species
CGCCUGACAGUAAAGGAUAUUACCACCCUCAUAUAGUAAUACAUUACAUUUUAAUAUAUUGUUAAUACACUGGGAUUUCCAAGAAUUAAAUGUAUAGCGGGUGAGGUGGGUUGGAAAGCACUUUUUAUUUUAUAACACCUCAAUGCAUAAAAGUUUUAACUAUCUUUUCACAUACUUGUCAAGACCAUCUGUCUAAAAUAACCAUCACCC